rnacentral:rRNA from 1 species
GUGCCAGCAGCCGCGGUAAUACGUAGGGCGCGAGCGUUAAUCGGAAUUACUGGGCGUAAAGCGUGCGCAGGCGGUUAUAUGAGACAGUUGUGAAAUCCCCGGGCUCAACCUGGGAAUUGCAUCUGUGACUGUAUAGCUAGAGUACGGUAGAGGGGGAUGGAAUUCCGCGUGUAGCAGUGAAAUGCGUAGAUAUGCGGAGGAACACCGAUGGCGAAGGCAAUCCCCUGGACCUGUACUGACGCUCAUGCACGAAAGCGUGGGGAGCAAACAGGAUUAGAUACCCUGGUAGUCCACGCCCUAAACGAUGUCAACUGGUUGUUGGGUGCAUUAGUACUCAGUAACGAAGCUAACGCGUGAAGUUGACCGCCUGGGGAGUACGGCCGCAAGGUUGAAACUCAAAGGAGUUGACGGGGGCCCGCACAAGCGGUGGAUGAUGUGGUUUAAUUCGAUGCAACGCGAAAAACCUUACCCACCUUUGACAUGUACGGAACUCGCCAGAGAUGGCUUGGUGCUCGAAAGAGAGCCGUAACACAGGUGCUGCAUGGCUGUCGUCAGCUCGUGUCGUGAGAUGUUGGGUUAAGUCCCGCAACGAGCGCAACCCUUGUCAUUAGUUGCUACGAAAGGGCACUCUAAUGAGACUGCCGGUGACAAGCCGGAGGAAGGUGGGGAUGACGUCAAGUCCUCAUGGCCCUUAUAGGUGGGGCUACACACGUCAUACAAUGGUUGGUACAAAGGGUUGCCAACCCGCGAGGGGGAGCUAAUCCCACAAAGCCAGUCGUAGUCCGGAUCGUAGUCUGCAACUCGACUACGUGAAGUCGGAAUCGCUAGUAAUCGUGGAUCAGAAUGUCACGGUGAAUACGUUCCCGGGUCCUGUACACACCGCCCGUCACACCAUGGGAGCGGGUUCUGCCAGAAGUAGUUAGCCUAACCGCAAGGAGGGCGAUUACCACGGCAGGGUUCGUGACUGGGGUGAAGUCGUAACAAGGUAACC